ACUGCUGAGGGACACCGCGGCGAGCGAGCAUGGGUGGAGGAGCUGAGGGUGUGAGCAGGGCUGCAGCGGGCAGGUCCAAGGCAGGAACCCUUGUGAAGGCAACCAAUCGUGGACCUCACUCUCCUGCAAGUCCCAGAGCAGGCUGGAGAAAUGUGGGACUUCCUAGGAGUUUACAGAUGGAGGGACAGAAGCCAAGGAGAGGCCACAGAGCUGGCUUUGCCCCCACCAUCCCUUGCCUGGACCCCCUUCCACCCGAGCAGCUUGGCCCAGGGCAACCCUUGCCCUCCCAGACUGCACACAUCCUGUUUUAAGGAUGCACAGCUUAAAACACGGUCGUGUGAGGUGAAUGUGAUAACCACUGCACUCCGGAAACCCUGCCCACAUUAACAAAAGAAAAGUCAAAAACCACAUGAUCAUCUCAGUAGAUGCAGAAAAAGCAUUUGACAAAGCGCAACAUCCAGUCAUGUUCAAAACUCUCGCCAAAGUGGGUAUAGAGGGAACAUUCCUGAACAUAAGCAAAGCCAUUUAUGACAAACCCACAGCAAAUAUAAUACUCAAUGGAGAAAAACUGAAAGCCUUCUCACUCAUCUGGAACAAGAGAGGGAUGCCCACUCUCACUACUGCUCUUUAACAUAGUUUUGGAAGUCCUAGCCACAGCAGUUAGACAAACAAAAGACAUAAAAGCCAUCCAAAGAGGAAAAGAAGAGAGAAAAGUGUAUGCAGACGACGUGAUACUACACAUAGAAAACCCUAAGGACUCAACCCAAAAACUACUUGAACUGAUUAAUAAAUUCAGCAAAGUAGCAGGAUAUAAGAUUAACAUUCAGAAAUCAGUUGCAUUUCUGUAUACCAACAAUGA
rnacentral:lncRNA from 9 species